rnacentral:rRNA from 1 species
UGCGUAGGCGGGCUAAUAAGUCAGUGGUGAAAUCUUUCGGCUCAACUGAGAAACUGCCAUUGAUACUGUUAGUCUUGAGUUCGGUUGAGGUAGGCGGAAUGUGUAAUGUAGCGGUGAAAUGCUUAGAUAUUACACAGAACACCAAUUGCGUAGGCAGCUUACUAGACCGACACUGACGCUGAGGCACGAAAGCGUGGGUAGCGAACAGGAUUAGAUACCCUGGUAGUCC